rnacentral:rRNA from 1 species
AACGAACGCUGGCGGCAUGCCUAACACAUGCCAGUCGAACGAGACCUUCGGGUCUAGUGGCGCACGGGUGCGUAACGCGUGGGAACCUGCCCUUAGGUUCAGAAUAACUCCCCGAAAGGGGUGCUAAUACCGGAUAAUGUCUUCGGACCAAAGAUUUAUCGCCUUUGGAUGGGCCCGCGUUGGAUUAGCUAGUUGGUAGGGUAAAAGCCUACCAAGGCGACGAUCCAUAGCUGGUCUGAGAGGAUGAUCAGCCACACUGGGACUGAGACACGGCCCAGACUCCUACGGGAGGCAGCAGUGGGGAAUAUUGGACAAUGGGCGAAAGCCUGAUCCAGCAAUGCCGCGUGAGUGAUGAAGGCCUUAGGGUUGUAAAGCUCUUUUACCCGGGAUGAUAAUGACAGUACCGGGAGAAUAAGCUCCGGCUAACUCCGUG